CUUGAUCAGAGUCUUCGUUCCUUGCAGAUCAUCCUCGGGAAGGUGCGCCCCCUGCACACCACCUCGCCGAGAC
rnacentral:sRNA from 1 species